rnacentral:rRNA from 1 species
AUUGAACGCUGGCGGCAGGCCUAACACAUGCAAGUAGAACGAGUGGCGGACGGGUGAGUAAUGUCUGGGAAACUGCCUGAUGGAGGGGGAUAACUACUGGAAACGGUAGCUAAUAACGCAUACCAUCAGAUGUGCCCAGAUGGGAUUAGCGUGUUGGUGGGGUAACGUCUCACAAAGGCGAAGAUCCCUAGAUGGUCUGAACGGAUGACCAGCCAUACUUGAACUGAGACACGGUCCAGUCUCCUACGUGAGGUAGCAGUGGGGAGUAUGGCACAAUGGGCGCAAGCCGUAUGCAGCCAUGCCGCGUGUAUGAAGAAGGCCUGCGGGUUGUAAAGUACGUUCAGCGGGGAGGCGUUACCCGCAGAAGAAGCACCGGCUAACUCCGUGACAGCAGCCGCGGUAAUUC